GUGGCGGCCUGGGACGCGGCCGGGGACGUGGUCGCCCUGAAGGGGCCACGGCAUCGCGCGGUGCUGGCCCGGCUGAUCGUCGCCCGCCGCCGCG
rnacentral:tRNA from 1 species